rnacentral:rRNA from 1 species
GCCUAACACAUGCAAGUCGAACGGCAGCACAGUAAGAGCUUGCUCUUAUGGGGGGGGAGUGGCGGACGGGUGAGGAAUACAUCGGAAUCUACUUUUUCGUGGGGGAUAACGUAGGGAAACUUACGCUAAUACCGCAUACGACCUACGGGUGAAAGCGGGGGAUCUUCGGACCUUGCGCGAUUGAAUGACCCGAUGUCGGAUUAUCUAUUUGGGGGGGUAAAGGCCCACCAAGGCGACGAUCCGUAGCUGGUCUGAGAGGAUGAUCACCCACACUGGAACUGACACACGGUCCAGACUCCUACGGGAGGCAGCAGUGGGGAAUAUUGGACAAUGGGCGCAAGCCUGAUCCACCCAUACCGCGUGGGUGAAAAAGGCCUUCGGGUUGUAAAGCCCUUUUGUUGGAAAAAAAAUCCACCCGGCUAAUACCUGGUUGGGAUGACGGUACCCAAAGAAUAAGCACCGGCUAACUUCGUGCCAACAGCCGCGGUAAUACAAAGGGUGCAAGCGUUACUCGGAAUUACUGGGCGUAAAGCGUGCGUAGGUGGUUGUUUAAGUCUGUUGUGAAAGCCCUGGGCUCAACCUGGGAACUGCAGUGAAAACUGGACAACUAGAGUGGGGUAGAGGGUAGCGAAAUUCCCGGUGUUACAGUGAAAUGCGUAGAAAUCGAGAGGAACAUCCCUUGGUAAAUGCAUCU